AUACGUAGGGUGCGAGCGUUAUCCGGAUUCAUUGGGUUUAAAGGGUGCGCAGGCGGCCGUGCAAGUCAGCGGUGAAAGCCCGGGGCUCAACCCCGGAAGUGCCGUUGAUACUGCGUGGCUGGAAUGCGGUCGAGGCGGGCGGAAAGCGGCGUGUAGCGGGGAAAUGCGUAGAUAUGCCACAGCACGCCGAUAGCGGAGGCAGCUCGCCAGGCCUGCAUUGACGCUCGGGCACGAAAGCGUGGGGAUCGAACAGGAUUAGAUACCCUGGUAGUCCACGCCGUAAACGAUGGGCGCUCGUCGUCGGCGGCAGACAGUCGGCGGCCAAGCGAAAGCGAUAAGCGCCCCACCUGGGGAGUACGGUCGCAAGGCUGAAACUCAAAUGAAUUGACGGGG
rnacentral:rRNA from 1 species